AUACUUGGCAGGGGAGAUAUACCAUGAUCAGGAAGGUGAUUUUCCCAGGGUGAAGCGUACACAUUACCCUCCAGGUAUGCUGACUCCUGCAAUUUCCUCAAAUGUGGGAAAAUCAACUGCAUAAUUUUGGUGGUGGUGACUGUAUUCAUGUUCUCCCCCA